AGACGUCUUUUUUUCUGCUGUUGAUGGGGAACUGAUGUUACACAGAACCUAAGGAGGAAGUAGAUAGGGAGCCGCUCUGGGUUGAACUUUAGUUUUACAGACGAAAUACGGAGUCUGAGCAGAAUAAAGUUGCUUCGUGCGCUGAUGAUCAAGAGCCUAAGUCUUCUGAUUCACAUUCCAGUGCCCCAAAUGCAGAUGGAAGUGAAAACAAAUCUGAUGAACAGAAGGGCCAACAGGGGAGGAAGGGAAUACAAUCCUAGGGGAAAAAGAUCCAGAAAAGAAGGAAGGGUUUUCAUUUUCUGGAAUCAUCCCUAACCCCAAAAUGUAAAAGAAAACAAGAGAAGCUGAUAAAGUCUAGGGAGAAGGGGGACGUGUCGCUACACACAGGAAGCGGAGUCAUAAGAAAAGGGGAAAAAGGAGCGACGGUUAGCUUAAGAAAUCAUUUCCUUAGAAUGGGCUGGAUUCAGGUCCAGGAAUAAAGGGCCCAGAUGGUUUUAAUGAUCAAACUCUGCCUCUUGCUUUCAUCCGGCUGCAGCAGGAACUGUCACCAGUGAAGGGCCAUAUCCUGUCAGUGGGUGGCCUCACGAGCUCCCACUGGUGCCUUGGAAGUUGUUCACUGAGGCUGAGAUACUUUGCCAACCCCCAAACCUCGCACCGGGAAGCCUGCCUACCCACCCCCAGGACUGCUCUGGUAUUCAGCAAUCUGGUGGAAUGUGUGAGGGGAGUAAUUCUCUCAGUCUUGGACGUCUCUUGGUCCUGUCCUUCAUUCACUGUAACAUAUAAUUCAUGUUGGAAUAUGAUUUCUGGAUCAUCCUAACCUCCUUGAUAAAGCAAAGAAUCGUCAGCGUUUGUGAGAAAUACAAAAAUACCGGUCAACCUGAGGCCCCAAAGGAUACUUUGAAUGUAUUUGACUAUGAGGAAAAUAAUUGCUAAGGUUCACCUAGAAAUAAUUCUCUCUUUUCUUCUUGUUGCCUUCCCUCAACAGAAGCUGAACUAUUGAGAGAUCACGAUGUUGAGGUUACCUCCAAAUAAGGGAGUAUUCACAAAAACUUUACCCCUUGAUAACAAAGCAGAAAAGUCGCCCCAGUUCAGAAGAAAAUCACUGGCCUUCCGUAGACUGACCCAAACUCCUUUUCCAACACUUGAGUUAAUACCAGUAUCAUGAGACCCCAGUCUGUGUUCUUCUUUUUAUUAGUUUGGAAAGAAUGACUAAUCCCUGUAUACUAUUCUUGGACUGUUAUUUUGGCCAGUUUAGGAGGAAUGGAUGAAUACUAAUAACAUCCGACGUUCAUAGCACGUUCAGAGUUUAUAAAGCCUUUUUCCAUUGACUCCUCACAGCAGUUCCCAGAUGAAGUGACUUGACCUGGCUCAUCUGUGACCAAGCGAUGAAGCUAAGAUAUAAACAUGAGUCUUCUGAAUCCAGCCUUCAGUUUUAACUGUGCACUAGACAGGACUGCCAUGUGCCCUGGAGGAAAAGCCCAGGGAGUGAAGAGGGCAUAUUCCAGGCAUGGUCUAGCUUGGCAGACACGGAUCCCACUUCGGAAAGUAAUCCCUCUACUGAGAGGCUGGGGAGCUAAUGAAAAGCAGCCAGCCAAUGGAAACAUGGCAUGUGCUAACAUCUUCUGAAAUUUAAUGUGGAUCACAGGAGCCCUCCCCUGUCAGCCUCUGGCACAGUAACUCCAUCUCACAGCGAAUUUCCCAGAAGACCCAGUCUGUGACGCUCCCCCCCCCCCCCCCACCAAAUCAAGACGCCUCUCUGUUUCAGAUACUGAGACUCACAAAUAGUGACCCUUCGUCAUUACAGGCAAAAACAGACUGCCUCCUGGAAAAGACAAUUGGCUUCAUGAGGGCCAAGCGGUCAUUCACUUCUGAACUCACAAAAUCAAUGGCACGCCAUUAAGGAGAAAAUACGAAGGAUCUCCAAGAAGCUCUGAAGAAAGGGGAUGUCAUCACUGGGACGUUGGGAAUUUAGUGCCAUGCUCAAGUAACAUAGCCACUUUUAAGUGGGACCUCCUGAAGCUAGUUCAUACCCCUUUGUGAGGAUGAUGGGAAGGCUGUGGUCUUCUCUGUACCGUGACUUCCCAAAAUAAUGAGGGUUAAUGGAGUCUAGCUUUCAGGAAGACUCGGGUAGGGAGAGGUCAAGGGGAGCGCUCACAGACGGCUGGGCAUAUUUCUGUGUUGUUUCAACACAUCAGGAGCAAGAAUUAAGUUACUCGUCCAACACAAAUGAACAAAAUAUGUAAAGACCCUAAAAUAAAACUCAUGCUUUCUUAAUGUCUUUGCAGCUGGAGGACACAGGAAUCACCCUACUGACAGCAUGUCUGGUGAUCUCUAAUCCAGGCCCUGCUGCCUGCUGCUGCUCUCUUCAAAAACAAAUCUACGCAGGUCUUUGAACCAUCUUAGAUGCCGCUUCAAGAUACUUUUGGCUGAUUACGUAAGGACCAAACUCCUCACUGCAAUACUGAACAUCUUUCACAAUCAAACCAAAAGUAAACACUCCGGGCUCCAUUCUAAUUCUUGGGACAUUUUCCCUCCUCCCUGCCCCCACCUCUCAAAAUCACCUUCUGUUCCUUAGAGAAGCUGGGCCCUUCCCAGCUCUUUGUUUUUGCAUUUGCUAAUUCCCUUGUCCCUUUUCCUCAGUUCCGCCCCAGCUUCAAUGUCACCUGUCUGUCAACCUCUGAGUCUCCCCGACUCCAGCCAUAAUGCAUUGCUUCCACCUUUGCUGUCACGCAGCACGUCGUCCGAUCACUGCUGACUUGUCUUUUUUUUACAAUAGGAAUUUUAAAUUACAAUAGGAAUAUAAGCUUAUGUGCUGA